rnacentral:rRNA from 1 species
CCUACGGGAGGCAGCAGUGGGGAAUAUUGGGCAAUGGGCGCAAGCCUGACCCAGCAACGCCGCGUGAAGGAAGAAGGCUUUCGGGUUGUAAACUUCUUUUAUGAGGGACGAAGAAAGUGACGGUACAUCAGGAAUAAGCCACGGCUAACUACGUGUCAGCAGCCGCGGUAAUACGAAGGUGGCAAGAGUUAUCCGGAUUUAUUGGGUGGAAAGGGAGUGUAGGGGGGAAAGCAAGUCAGAUGUGAAAACUCAGGGCUCAACCCUGCGCCUGCAGUUGAAACUGUUUUUCUUGAGUGCUGGAGAGGCGAUCGGAAUUCCGUGUGUAGCGGUGAAAUGCGUAGAUAUACGGAGGAACACCAGUGGCGAAGGCGGAUUGCUGGACAGUAACUGACGCUGAGGCGCGAAAGCGUGGGGAGCAAACAGGAUUAGAUACCCCUGUAGUC